rnacentral:rRNA from 1 species
AACGAACGCUGGCGGCAUGCCUAACACAUGCAAGUCGAACGCUUUCAUGGGUUUCGGCCUAUGAGGGAGUGGCGCACGGGUGAGUAGCGCGUGGGAACCUGCCCUGAAGUGGGGGAUAACCGGGGGAAACUCCGGCUAAUACCGCAUGUGCCCGGCAGCAAUGUCGGGGAAAGAUUUAUCGCUUCAGGAGGGGCCCGCGUCGGAUUAGCUAGUUGGUGGGGUAACGGCCUACCAAGGCAGUGAUCCGUAGCUGGUCUGAGAGGAUGAUCA